GUGCAGCAGUCGAGAAUUUUUCUCAAUGGGGGAAACCCUGAAGGAGCGACGCCGCGUGGAGGAUGAAGGUCUUCGGUUGUAAACUCCUGUCAUUUGAGAACAAGGUGCACAUGUUAACUGCAUGUGCAUUGAUAGUAUCAGAAGAGGAAGGGACGGCUAACUCUGUGCCGGCAGCCGCGGUAAUACAGAGGUCCCAAGCGUUGUUCGGAUUCAUUGGGCGUAAAGGGUGUGUAGGUGGCGCCGUAAGUCGGGUGUGAAAUCUCGGGGCUUAACUCCGAAACUGCAUUCGAUACUGCGGUGCUUGAGGACUGGAGAGGAGACUGGAAUUCAUGGUGUAGCAGUGAAAUGCGUAGAGAUCAUGAGGAAGACCAGUGGCGAAGGCGGGUCUCUGGACAGUUCCUGACACUGAGACACGAAGGCCAGGGGAGCAAACGGGAUUGGAUACCCCUGUAGU
rnacentral:rRNA from 1 species